UAUAAGUGAUUGAAGAGAUUUUACUUAAGUUGUUGAGUUUAUACAAAAAUGUUGAUUUUUGACUUUUGUAGUAAAUUGAUGGUGGUAUUGUGCAUAUAAAUUGAUUGGAUAUUUAAAAAGUUACUAACUCAAAGAUGUUCAAAGGAUGGGUGUUAUGGAGAUUGGAUAAGUUAUUUGUUUGGGUGAUUUAAAGUUGGAGGAGUUCUUUAGCUUGCCAUUCCUUAGCAUAAUUUUAUUUAGGAUCAUUUUUGUAGAUGUUGUAAUUUUCAUUGAAAGCUUUUCCUAAUUUGAGAUCCUAUUUACUAAUUGUUAGGAUUGGAGGAAGGCAUCUCUCCACCUCUUGGAAAUUAAUUUGUAGAGUUUCAAAUCUACACUUUUGCUAUUUUUGGAGAUUCAUAGACUUUUGUGUGGCUCGCCUCAACUUGGAAGACUAGAAAUUUUUUGAAGGAUCACAGGUGGGCAUCUUGUGGUUGAGGUUUUGCUUAGGGUCAUUCUAGGAUGUAAGCUUACCUUUUUUUUAUGAAGGAGGUUGAUUGUAAAUAUUGCUUAUGAAGUUGGAUGUAUUGAUGGAUUCGUGAUUAGUAUGUAUUAUAUUUUUUUGGGAGGAAAUGCUUGGGAACUAUCUUGUAGCAUGAUAAUACUUUUUGUCUUUGAAUAGAUCAUCUCAUAUAUGUUAGGAA